AGUGAACGCUGGCGGUAGGCCUAACACAUGCAAGUCGAACGGCAGCACGGUAAGAGCUUGCUCUUACGGGUGGCGAGUGGCGGACGGGUGAGGAAUACAUCGGAAUCUACUUUUUCGUGGGGGAUAACGUAGGGAAACUUACGCUAAUACCGCAUACGACCUACGGGUGAAAGCAGGGGAUCUUCGGACCUUGCGCGAUUGAAUGAGCCGAUGUCGGAUUAGCUAGUUGGCGGGGUAAAGGCCCACCAAGGCGACGAUCCGUAGCUGGUCUGAGAGGAUGAUCAACCACACUGGAACUGAGACACGGUCCAGACUCCUACGGGAGGCAGCAGUGGGGAAUAUUGGACAAUGGGCGCAAGCCUGAUCCAGCCAUACCGCGUGGGUGAAGAAGGCCUUCGGGUUGUAAAGCCCUUUUGUUGGGAAAGAAAAGCAGCAGGUUAAUACCCCGCUGUUCUGACGGUACCCAAAGAAUAAGCACCGGCUAACUUCGUG
rnacentral:rRNA from 1 species